rnacentral:rRNA from 1 species
UACAGAGGUCUCAAGCGUUUGUUCGGAUUCAUUGGGCGUAAAGGGUGUGUAGGUGGCGCCGUAAGUCGGGUGUGAAAUUUCGGAGCUUAACUCCGAAACUGCAUUCGAUACUGCGGUGCUUGAGGACUGGAGAGGAGACUGGAAUUCAUGGUGUAGCAGUGAAAUGCGUAGAGAUCAUGAGGAAGACCAGUGACGAAGGCGGGUCUCUGGACAGUUACUGACACUGAGGCACGAAGGCCAGGGGAGCAAACGGGG